UACAGAGGGUGCGAGCGUUACUCGGAAUUACUGGGCGUAAAGCGUGCGUAGCCGGUUAUUUAAGUCGGAUGUGAAAGCCCCGGGCUCAACCUGGGAAUUGCAUUCGAGACUGAAUAGCUAGGGUGCGGUAGAGGGAAGCGGAAUUUCCGGUGUAGCGGUGAAAUGCGCAGAUAUCAGGAAGAACACCCGUGGCGAAGGCGGCUCUCUGGAACGCAACUGACGCUGAGACGCGAAAGCGUGGGGAGAGAACAGG
rnacentral:rRNA from 1 species